UACGUAGGGUCCAAGCGUUGUCCGGAUUUAUUGGGCGUAAAGAGCUCGUAGGCGGUUUCGUAAGUCGGAUGUGAAAACUCAGGGCUCAACCCGGAGACGCCAUCCGAUACUGCGAUGACUUGAGUCUGGUAGGGGAACACGGAAUUCCUGGUGUAGCGGUGAAAUGCGCAGAUAUCAGGAGGAACACCGGUGGCGAAGGCGGGUCUCUGGGCCGAUACUGACGCUGAGGAGCGAAAGCGUGGGGAGCGAACAGG
rnacentral:rRNA from 1 species